AUACCUACCUGGGAGGGGAAAUAUCGUGAUCAUGAAGGUGGUUUUCCCAGGGCAAGGAUCAUCCAUUAUACUGAGGAUGAGCUGACCCCUGCAACUUCCCCAUACAUGGGAAACUUUAUUGCAUAAUUUGUGCUAGGGGGGACUGUUUGUGCUUUCCCCUG